GGGUAACGGGGUGUUAGGGCACGACACCGGAGAGGGAGCCUGAGAAACGGCUACCACAUCCAAGGAAGGCAGCAGGCGCGCAAAUUACCCAAUCCCGACAUGGGGAGGUAGUGACAGUAAAUAACAAUACAGGGUUCUUUUGGAUCUUGUAAUUGGAAUGAGUACAAUUUAAAUCUCUUAACGAGGAACAAUUGGAGGGCAAGUCUGGUGCCAGCAGCCGCGGUAAUUCCAGCUCCAAUAGCGUAUAUUAAAGUUGUUGCAGUUAAAAAGCUCGUAGUUGAAUUUCGGGAUCAAGGAAUCGGUCAUGCCUUGGUAUGUACUGGUUUUAUUGGUUCUCACCUUCUAAAGAACCAUAAUGUCAUUUAUUUGAUGUUAUGGGGGAUUAGGACUGUUACCUUGAAAAAAUUAGAGUGUUUAAAGCAAGCUUACGCUUGAAUACAUUAGCAUGGAAUAAUGAAAUAGGACAUCAGAUUCUAUUUUGUUGGUUUCUAGGAUCGAUGUAAUGAUUAAUAGGGAUAGUUGGGGGCAUUAGUAUUCAAUUGUCAGAGGUGAAAUUCUUGGAUUUAUUGAAGACUAACUACUGCGAAAGCAUUUGCCAAGGAUGUUUUCAUUAAUCAAGAACGAAAGUUAGGGGAUCGAAGACGAUCAGAUACC
rnacentral:rRNA from 1 species